UGGGCAGUGGUAGUUGUUUCUAUUGUUGUGGAAGGUGGUGAUGGUGUUGUUGUUUCAGCUGUUGUGGUACUUAUGGUAGUCAUAGUUGUUUCUGUUGUUGUUGAAGUUUCUGGUAUUCUUGUUUCAGCAGCAGUUGUAGGAUGGGUCGCUACAGUUGUUUCUGUUGUUGUGGAAGUUGGAGGUGUUGUUGUUUCAGCAAUUGUACUACUUGUGGUAAUGGUAGUAGUUUCAACUGUUGUGGAAGAUGGUGGUUUGGUUGGUGCUUCAGCUGUUGUACUACUUUCUGUAUUGGUAGUUUCAGCAGCUGUUGUAGUUUGGGCAGUGGUAGUUGUUUCUAUUGUUGUGUAAGUUUGAUGUCCUGUUGUUGUUUUAGCGAUUGCAGUACUUUGGGUUGUGGUAGGUGUUUCUAUUUUUGUAGAUAUUUCUGGUGUUGUUGUUGCUUCAGUUGUUAUACUACUUUGUAUAGUAGUAGUUUUUUCUGUUGUUGUCAUAGUUUGUGGUGCAAUUGCUGUUUCAGCAGCUGUUGUAGUUUGGGCAGUGGUAGUUGUUUCUAUUGUUGUGGGAGGUGAUGGUGUUGUUGUUGUUUCAGCUGUUGUGGUACUUAUGGUGGCCAUAGUUGUUUCUGUUGUUGUUGAAGUUUCUGGUUUUCUUGUUUCAGCACCAGUUGUAGGAAUGGUCGCUGCAGUUAUUUCUGUAGUUGUGGAAGUUGGAGUUGUUGUUGUUUCAGCAUUUGUACUACUUGUGGUAAUGGUAGUAGUUUCAACUGUUGUGGAAGAUGGUGGUUUUGAUGGUGCUUCAGCUGAUGUACUACUUUCUGUAUUGGUAGUUUCAGCAGCUGUUGUAGUUUGGGCAGUGGUAGUUGUUUCUAUUGUUGUGUAAGUUUGAGGUCCUGUUGUUGUUUUAGCUAUUGCAGUACUUUGGGUUGUGGUGGGUGUUUCUAUUUUUGUAGAAAUGUCUGGUGUUGGCGCUGCCUCAGUUGUUGUACUACUUUGUGUAGUUUUAGUUUUCUCUGUUGUUGUGAAAGUUUGUGGUGUUAUUGUUGUGUCAGUAGCAGUUGUUGUUUGGGCAGUGGUAGUUGUUUCUAUUGUUGUGGGAGGUGAUGGUGUUGUUGUUGUUUCAGCUGUUGUGGUACUUAUGGUAGCCAUAGUUGUUUCUGUUGUUGUUGAAGUUUCUGGUAUUCUUGUUUCAGCAGCAGUUGUAGGAUGGGUCGCUACAGUUGUUUCUGUUGUUGUGGAAGUUGGAGGUGUUGUUGUUUCAGCAUUUGUACUACUUUUGGUAAUGGUAGUAGUUUCAACUGUUGUGGAAGAUGGUGGUUUGGUUGGUGCUUCAGCUGAUGUACUACUUUCUGUAUUGGUAGUUUCAGCAGCUGUUGUAGUUUGGGCAGUGGUAGGUCUUUCUAUUGUUGUGUAAGUUUGAUGUCCUGUUGUUGUUUUAGGUAUUGCAGUACUUUGGGUUGUGGUAGGUGUUUCUAUUUUUGUAGACAUUUCUGGUGUUGUUGCUGCUUCAGUUGUUGUACUACUUUGUGUAGUUUUAGUUUUUUCUGUUGUUGUGGUAGUUUGUGGUGCUAUUGUUGUUUCAGCAGCUGUUGUAGUUUGGGCAGUGGUAGUUGUUUCUAUUGUUGUGGGAGGUGAUGGUGUUGUUGUUGUUUCAGCUGUUGUGGUAGUUAUGGUAGCCAUAGUUGUUUCUGUUGUUGUUGAAGUUUCUGGUAUUCUUGUUUCAGCAGCAGUUGUAGGAUGGGUCGCUACAGUUGUUUCUGUUGUUGUGGAAGUUGGAGGUGUUGCUGUUUCAGCAUUUCUACUACUUGUGGUAAUGGUAGUAGUUUCAACUGUUGUGGAAGAUGGUGGUUUGGUUGGUGCUUCAGCUGAUGUACUACUUUCUGUUUUGGUAGUUUCAGCAGCUGUUGUAGUUUGGGCAGUGGUAGUUGUUUCUAUUGUUGUGUAAGUUUGAGGUCCUGUUGUUGUUUUAGCUAUUGCAGUACUUUGGGUUGUGGUAGGUGUUUCUAUUGUUGUAGACAUUUCUGGUGUUGUUGCUGCUUCAGUUGUUGUACUACUUUGUGUAGUUUUAGUUUUGUCUGUUGUUGUGGUAGUUUGAGGUCCUGUUGUUGAUUUAGCUAUUACAGUACUUUGGGCUGUGGUAGGUGUUUCCAUUUUUGUAGAAAUUUCUGGUGUUGUUGCUGCUUCAGUUGUUUUACUAAUUUGUGUAGAGGUAGUUUUUUCUGUUGUUGUGG